rnacentral:misc_RNA from 1 species
UGUGGGAGCGAGCCUGCUCGCGAUGAGCCCUUUCAUUCAACAUUAACGUCGACUGAACUACCGCUAUCGCGAGCAGGCUCGCUCCCACA